GUUUUCGUGGUGUAAUGGUUAUCACAUUCGCUUCACAACCCGUGUGCGCGAAAGGCUCUGAGUUCGAUCCUCAGCGAGAACA